rnacentral:rRNA from 1 species
UGAGGAAUAUUGGUCAAUGGGCGAGAGCCUGAACCAGCCAAGCCGCGUGAAGGAAGAAGGUUCUAUGGAUUGUAAACUUCUUUUACCGGGGGAUAGAGUGGGCCUCGAGCAGGCUCAUGGAAGGUACCCGGAGAAUAAGCAUCGGCUAACUCCGUGCCAGCAGCCGCGGUAAUACGGAGGAUGCAGGCGUUAUCCGGAUUUAUUGGGUUUAAAGGGUGCGUAGGUUGCGGAUUAAGUGAGCGGUGAAAUGUUGUGGCUCAACCAUAAGAUUGCCGUUCAUACUGGUUCGCUUGAGGACAGAUGAGGCAGGCGGAAUGCGUGGUGUAGCGGUGAAAUGCAUAGAUAUCACGCAGAACUCCGAUUGCGAAGGCAGCUUGCCAAGCUGUGACUGACACUGAAG